rnacentral:rRNA from 1 species
UACGGAGGGUGCAAGCGUUAUCCGGAUUCACUGGGUUUAAAGGGUGCGUAGGCGGGAAUGUAAGUCAGUGGUGAAAUCUCCGUGCUUAACAUGGAAACUGCCAUUGAUACUAUGUUUCUUGAAUUUUCUGGAGGUCAGCGGAAUAUGUCAUGUAGCGGUGAAAUGCUUAGAUAUGACAUAGAACACCAAUUGCGAAGGCAGCUGACUACAGGGAUAUUGACACUGAGGCACGAAAGCGUGGGGAUCAAACAGG